rnacentral:tRNA from 1 species
GGCGGGUGUGGUGAAGGGGGUAACACACCAGAUUGUGGCUCUGGCAUGCGUGGGUUCGAUCCCCAUCACUCGCCU